rnacentral:misc_RNA from 1 species
GAUGAAGAACGCAGCGAAAUGCGAUACGUAAUGUGAAUUGCAGAAUUCAGUGAAUCAUCGAAUCUUUGAACGCAUAUUGCGCUCUCUGGUAUUCCGGAGAGCAUGCUUGUUUGAGUAUCAGUAAACACCUCAACUCCCUUUUCUUUUUUGAAAUGGGAGCUGGACUUGAGUGAUCCCAACGCUUUUCUCACCGGAAAGUGGCGGGUUACUUGAAAUGCAGGUGCAGCUGGACUUUUCUCUGAGCUAUAAGCAUAUCUAUUUAGUCUGCCUAAAAACAGAUUAUUACCUUUGCUGCAGCUAACAUAAAGGAGAUUAGUUCUUGUGCUGACUGAUGCAGGAUUCACAGAGACAGCUUCGGCUGACUUUGUAAACUCGAUCUCAAAUCAAGUAAGACUACCCGCUGAACUUAAGCAUAUCAAUAAGCGGAGGA